rnacentral:siRNA from 1 species
UUUAUAGUUAUUGAGCUACAGA